rnacentral:misc_RNA from 1 species
AAAUAAUUUGCCAGCCAAGUUCAAGUAUCUCAUGACAAGCUUUACUAAUUUCCACUCCUUUGGGGCAGGAGGAAAGGGUGGAGAAUUUUUUUUUUUUUUGAUGCUGUUGCCUAUAGUUCCUAUCACUUGUUCUAUUGCCAAAAUGAGUCUUCACCAUUAUAACUUUUCGUCUUCUUUUCUCUAAUCUGUAUGCAAAUGUUACUCUAUCCAUGUACUAAAUACAACAUAUUACUUGACAAAUUUGAGGUUGAACUUGUUUAAGUUGCAAUGUAUGGUUACGUGUAGCGGAUGCAUUUCAAAUAAAGUAAAAAUCAACUCUAAAGUAGUUUUAAGCCUCUAUUAGAGUUGGGCAAAGUGACCUCCAACAAGCAUGCGAUUUAUGGCUAGGAGCACAAGUUCUUUCAGUUGCAGGGCACAUGGAAGGUUUAUCUUGCAAGCCACCGCCACUGUCAUACUCUCUCAGUGGCAAAGCUAUUAUCACUAGAACGCUCUCUCACCGUUAAACGAUACCACCACUGGACUUAAAAUCCUUGAACUACCAGAAUCCAGUGUUCAUGCACAUUGGAAAUGCCAUCUCGUUGCCAUAAUCUUUAUUGUGCCCCCCUCAUAGGCUUAACUUUGUUCUUGUUGUAGUGUUGUUUUUUUUUUCAACCCAAACAAGACAAGACUUUUUGGUUUGAGGAUAUACCACAUAUUUAUCCUCCCCAAAAAAACUGUAUAUUUAGUACUUGUUACUCUUGAAUAGUCUUGAUAGUCAUUUUUAGUAGGUCUGUGUUUUAGAGUUCUCAAAUUGUUGUCAUCAGAGCAAGUGAUGGUGAAGAUUCGUGUUUUUGUUAAAGUCUGUGUUCAUCUUGUAUUCUGUUUGCUGGUAGUUAGAUUGUUUUCUUUUGAUUGAUACGUUGAAGAUUGUCAGCUUUGGUCAGUUUGGUUAAAUAGUGCUGAUAUGUUGAAUUUAUUGUGAAUAUUAGGUCUUAAUUUUGAAUUUUUCCUGCAAGAUUUAAUUUUUCUGUAUUGACCUUCCCUCUAGGACCCUUUUGUGCCUUCAUUAACUAUGUUAGUACGAGUACGCAAUGUUAUCUUGUUCUAAGCAUUUUUCUCUUCCUGAUAUCAUGUAAUUACAUCUUUACAAAUUUUAUUUGCUGAAUCUCUAAAUCAGAUGAUGGGGAAAGUUAAUCAAGAG